CGCGUAGGCGGUUUGAUAAGUGUGAUGUGAAAGCCCAGGGCUUAACCUUGGAACUGCAUCACAUACUGUCAGGCUAGAGUACGAGAGAGGGGGGUAUAAUUCCUAGUGUAGCGGUGAAAUGCGUAGAUAUUAGGAGGAAUACCAGUGGCGAAGGCGGCCCCCUGGCUCGAUACUGACGCUGAGGUGCGAAAGCGUGGGGAGCAAACA
rnacentral:rRNA from 1 species